rnacentral:rRNA from 1 species
GACGAACGCUGGCGGCGUGCCUAAUACAUGCAAGUUGAGCGCUGAAGGAUGGUACUUGUACCAACUGGAUGAGCAGCGAACGGGUGAGUAACGCGUGGGGAAUCUGCCUUUGAGCGGGGGACAACAUUUGGAAACGAAUGCUAAUACCGCAUAAAAACUUUAAACACAAGUUUUAAGUUUGAAAGAUGCAAUUGCAUCACUCAAAGAUGAUUCCGCGUUGUAUUAGCUAGGUGGUGAGGUAAAGGCUCACCAAGGCGAUGAUACAUAGCCGACCUGAGAGGGUGAUCGGCCACAAUGGGACUGAGACACGGCCCAAACUCCUAAGGGAGGCAGCAGUAGGGAAUCUUCGGCAAUGGAGGGAAGGCUGACCGAGCAACGCCGCGGGAGUGAAGAAGGGUUUCGGAUCGUAAAACUCUGUUGGUAGAGAAGAACGUUGGUGAGAGUGGAAAGCUCAUCAAGUGACGGUAACUACACAGAAAGGGACGGCUAACUACGUG